GAUGAAGAACGCAGCAAAAUGCGAUAAGUAAUGUGAAUUGCAGAAUUCAGUGAAUCAUCGAAUCUUUGAACGCACAUUGCGCCCGCCAGUAUUCUGGCGGGCAUGCCUGUUCGAGCGUCAUUUCAACCCUCAAGCCCUCGGGUUUGGUGUUGGGGAUCGGCGAGCCUUUCUGGCAAGCCGGCCCCGAAAUCUAGUGGCGGUCUCGCUGCAGCCUCCAUUGCGUAGUAGUAAAACCCUCGCAACUGGAACGCGGCGCGACCAAGCCGUUAAACCCCCAACUUCUGAAUGUUGACCUCGGAUCAGGUAGGAAUACUCGCUGAACUUAAGCAUAUCAAUAAGCGGAGGA
rnacentral:misc_RNA from 1 species